UACGUAGGGGGCUAGCGUUGCUCGGAAUUACUGGGCGUAAAGGGAGCGUAGGCGGACAUUUAAGUCAGGGGUGAAAUCCCGGGGCUCAACCUCGGAAUUGCCUUUGAUACUGGGUGUCUUGAGUAUGAGAGAGGUAUGUGGAACUCCGAGUGUAGAGGUGAAAUUCGUAGAUAUUUGGAAGAACACCAGUGGCGAAGGCGACAUACUGGCUCAUUACUGACGCUGAGGCUCGAAAGCGUGGGGAGCAAACAGG
rnacentral:rRNA from 1 species